CUGCGAUGUUUUCCACGCGCGACGAUGAAAUUUCUCCACGCAGUACGCAUCUCACUUAGAACUAUUUUCAUCGUGACAGUUUUUGUAUCUUCUUGUAGCCUGGGAACACCGUUCAAUUUGUGCGACAGAAACUUAUAGCUUCCGUCUCACGCUAUUGUAUUGAAACGGUUGAAUACCGCUUUCUUGCCCUAGAGUUGAACUAGUAAAAGGUGCCCAAGUUGCGAGUGCAGUCGUAACGCUUUGUCGUUCGAUCCGAGCCCAUGGAGGAAGUUGGAGCUGUAGAGCUGUAUGUUUUUGGACAAAGUCAUCAAUUCCAUUGCUCUUCCUAUGCCAAGUGGCCAGGAUAAUGGUUGAAUUGCUACAAUAAGGUUAUGAUCAAC
rnacentral:lncRNA from 1 species